GUGUCCUUGGGCAAGACACUGAACCACAGUUAUGAAGACGCUGGAACCGCUGAGAGCACUUCCAGCAGUCUCCCGCCUGUGCUGCCUUUAAAAGCUGUUCAUCACAGACCGUCAGGCAAUGCUGGAGACCUGGAUCAGAGGCUACAAACGUGGGAUAAUAGUUCCACCCUGGAGGACUUUGUUUCUGUACAUGUCAGGCGAUGUUAACAGCCCUCCCCUGUAAUGAUGAAUGCUCUUUUCUACUCUUCCCGCUUCUUGAUGGGUCGCCGAGUUCAUCAGGCGUUAUCGAGCGCUGAGGAAAAUGUGGCAGCAGGUGUAGCCGGUGUCAGAGGGCAUCCAUCAUCCAGCAGGCCUCCUAAUGCACAUGUAAUAUUUAGGCAGAACAGAGUAGAUGUGGGAAGUCAAAAGGAAGAGAAGAGUCGAGAGGAAGCUACUUGCCCACCUUACCUUUGGAUGGAAUUAAUUUAGAAAAAAUAAAGCCUUUUCUCUUUGUCUGUUCCUGCCGGUUUGAUAAGUAGCGGAGGCAUUAUCUCACUAAUGUGCUCUUGCGGUGACAUUUUGGGUUUCUUUUGGGCAUUUUUAUUCUGUAACCUUGUGGUAGUAGAACUCUCGUGAUGAUAUAAAAGGAGGAAUGUCAACAAAUAUAUUAAACGGUUGUGAAUGUGUCGCAUUGAAUCAGAGUCAUUGUGUGUUAUCGGAGGCUAUACAUUUGUCCGCAGUAAAUCAUUCAUACUUUGUUUGGAGUCGUUCUGUGCGCUAUCUGUCAUCUGCCGAGUCUUCAGCUCAAGGCUUCUUCUUUCAACAUCCUCUAUGUCUCUCGGAUGUCUUCGUGGGGUUUGGGGAGGUUUAAGUGGUUCCUGUGGACUCGCUUGACUGUUGUCUUCUUCUGUUAAAUCAUGCUUUGAUUCACCAUCCAGUGCAGCUGUAGCUCAGCUCUUUCUCUCUUCACUUGUUUGUUUUCUGUGGAACUGCUGGAAGAAAAUCUAAAAAACGAAGGUGUGUACAGUUAGGGUUUCUCAUAAUGAGUCACUUCCCUCAGAAAGGCCUGCCCUUAUUCACAGCCAUGGUUUUAAAGAUUCAAGGCAAUUUCCUCCCAUUAUAGAAGUGAUAUAUAACUGGAGAAGUAUUGAAUUACAGGUUUCACAGGGACUGUAUAGAAUCGCUGAAAGUGAAGCUGACAUUUAUAAUAAAAAACACCACAUUCUUAUUGUACCUUCAGUCUGCCUAAUGCGUUAUUAUUUUACAGGUUCUUGGAAGUAGUCCUUUGCUGGAUAAAUAAUUCCAUAUUUGACUGAUGCAUCAUUCAUA